rnacentral:rRNA from 1 species
GCAUAUCAAUAAGCGGAGGAAAAGAAACCAACAGGGAUUGCCUUAGUAACGGCGAGUGAAGCGGCAACAGCUCAAAUUUGAAAUCUGGCCCUUGGGUCCGAAUUGUAAUUUGUAGAGGAUGAUUUUGGUGCGGUAUCUUCCGAGUUCCUUGGAACAGGACGCCUUAGAGGGUGAGAGCCCCGUACGGUUGAAUGCCUAGCCUCUGUAAAUCUCCUUCGACGAGUCGAGUAGUUUGGGAAUGCUGCUCUAAAUGGGAGGUAAAUUUCUUCUAAAGCUAAAUAUUGGCCAGAGACCGAUAGCGCACAAGUAGAGUGAUCGAAAGAUGAAAAGCACUUUGAAAAGAGGGUUAAAUAGCACGUGAAAUUGUUGAAAGGGAAGGAUUUGUGACCAGACUUUUUCUGGGCGGAUCAUCCGGGGUUCUCUCCGGUGCACUUCGCCCAGUAAAGGCCAGCAUCGGUUUUCGGCGUGGGAUAAAAGCAGUAGGAAUGUGGCUCUCUACGGGGAGUGUUAUAGCCUAUUGUAUAAUACCGCGCUGGGGACCGAGGUUCGCGCUUCUGCAAGGAUGCUGGCGUAAUGGUUAUCAAUCACCCGUCUUGAAACACGGACCAAGGAGUCGAACAUUUGUGCGAGUGUUUGGGUGUUAAACCCUCACGCGUAAUGAAAGUGAACGGAGGUGAGAGCCCUUACGGGUGCAUCAUCGACCGAUCCUGAAGUUUUCGGAUGGAUUUGAGUAAGAGCAUAACUGUUCGGACCCGAAAGAUGGUGAACUAUGCGUGGAUAGGGUGAAGCCAGAGGAAACUCUGGUGGAGGCUCGCAGCGGUUCUGACGUGCAAAUCGAUCGUCAAAUCUGCGCAUGGGGGCGAAAGACUAAUCGAACCAUCURGUAGCUGGUAC